rnacentral:rRNA from 1 species
UACGGAGGAUCCAAGCGUUAUCCGGAUUUAUUGGGUUUAAAGGGUGCGUAGGUGGCCUGUUAAGUCUGCUGUGAAAGCCCCGGGCUCAACCUGGGAAUUGCAGUGGAUACUGGGGAGCUAGAGUGCGGUAGAGGGUAGUGGAAUUCCCGGUGUAGCGGUGAAAUGCGUAGAGAUCGGGAGGAACACCAGUGGCGAAGGCGGCUACCUGGACCAGCACUGACACUGAGGCACGAAAGCGUGGGGAGCAAACAGG